GACGAACGCUGGCGGCGUGCCUAAUACAUGCAAGUAGAACGCACAGUUUAUACCGUAGCUUGCUACACCAUAGACUGUGAGUUGCGAACGGGUGAGUAACGCGUAGGUAACCUGCCUGGUAGCGGGGGAUAACUAUUGGAAACGAUAGCUAAUACCGCAUAAUAUUAAUUAUUGCAUGAUAAUUAAUUGAAAGGUGCAAUUGCACCACUACCAGAUGGACCUGCGUUGUAUUAGCUAGUAGGUGAGGUAACGGCUCACCUAGGCGACGAUACAUAGCCGACCUGAGAGGGUGAUCGGCCACACUGGGACUGAGACACGGCCCAGACUCCUACGGGAGGCAGCAGUAGGGAAUCUUCGGCAAUGGACGAAAGUCUGACCGAGCAACGCCGCGGGAGUGAAGAAGGUUUUCGGAUCGUAAAGCUCUGUUGUAAGAGAAGAACGGGUGUGAGAGUGGAAAGUUCACACUGUGACGGUAUCUUACCAGAAAGAGACGGCUAACUACGUG
rnacentral:rRNA from 1 species